rnacentral:rRNA from 1 species
AUUGAACGCUGGCGGCAGGCCUAACACAUGCAAGUCGAACGAGUGGCGGACGGGUGAGUAAUGUCUGGGAAACUGCCUGAUGGAGGGGGAUAACUACUGGAAACGGUAGCUAAUACCGCAUACCAUCAGAUGUGCCCAGAUGGGAUUAGCUUGUUGGUGGGGUAACGGCUCACCAAGGCGACGACCCCUAGCUGGUCUGAGAGGAUGACCGGCAACACGGGAAUUGGGACACGGUCCAGAUUCCAAGGGGGGCAAGCAGUGGGGAAUAUUGCACAAUGGGCGAAAGCCUGAUGCAGCCAUGCCGCGUGUAUGAAGAGGGCCUUCGGGUUGUAAAGUACUUUCAGCGGGGAGGCGUUACCCGCAGAAGAAGCACCGGCUAACUCCGUGCCAGCAGCCGCGGUAAUAC